rnacentral:sRNA from 1 species
UUACGGAUACCCGGCCGACGGGGGUCGU